rnacentral:rRNA from 1 species
CCCUUAGAUGUCCGGGGCCGCACGCGCGCUACACUGAAGGAAUCAGCGUGGCUUUCUCCCUGACCCGAAAGGGUUGGGAAACCCGUUGAAUCUCCUUCGUGAUAGGGAUUGGGGCUUGAAAUUGUUCCCCAUGAACGAGGAAUUCCCAGUAAGCGCGAGUCAUAAGCUCGCGUUGAUUACGUCCCUGCCCUAUGUACACACCGCCCGUCGCUACUACCGAUUGAACGGUUUAGUGAGGGCCUCGGAUUGGUCUCGGCCCGCUCUUUACCGGGCGGCGCCGUUGGUCGAGAAGACGCUCGAACUUGAUCGUUUAGAGGAAGUAAAAGUCGUAACA